rnacentral:rRNA from 1 species
AGUGAACGCUGGCGGUAGGCCUAACACAUGCAAGUCGAACGGCAGCACAGGAGAGCUUGCUCUCUGGGUGGCGAGUGGCGGACGGGUGAGGAAUACAUCGGAAUCUGCCCAGUCGUGGGGGAUAACGUAGGGAAACUUACGCUAAUACCGCAUACGACCUUCGGGUGAAAGAGGGGGAUCGCAAGACCUCUCGCGAUUGGAUGAGCCGAUGUCGGAUUAGCUAGUUGUCGUGGUACUGGCCCACCAAGGCGACGAUCCGUAGCUGGUCUGAGAGGAUGAUCACCCACACUGGAACUGAGACACGGUCCAGACUCCUACGGGAGGCAGCAGUGGGGAAUAUUGGACAAUGGGCGCAAGCCUGAUCCAGCCAUACCGCGUGGGGGAAGAAGGCCUUCGGGUGUUAAAGCCCUUUUGUUGGGAAAGAAAUCUUUCAGGCUAAUACCCUGUGAGGAUGACGGUACCCAAAGAAUAAGCACCGGCUAACUUCGUG